ACCAACGGUCAUACCAUGUUGAAAACACCAGUUCUCGUCCGAUCACGAAGUUAAGCAACAUUGGGCAUGGUUAGUACUUGGAUGGGGGACCGCUUGGGAACACCACGUGCUGUUGGUA